rnacentral:lncRNA from 1 species
AAAUAAGUACUGUAUUUUAGAAAAAAUAUAUAUCAUGGAUAGACGUAAAGAUUGCUUCGAUUACGUAUUUACUUCUCACUGGAGUACAAAUUCACCUCAAAUGUCACAUUUUUUAUUUUUGUUUCGAUGACAUCACUGUCAAGUAACGACUCUCUCCGGCAGAUCAAUUAAAAUCGGGACCAUGGACAAGGGCGGGACAUUACACAUGACCGCCGCAACACCACCAUGGCUCUGCUGAUGCGGCGGUUAAUUACUGAUGCACAGAAUUAUCUUGAAAAUGGUUGUUAAUUUGUUAUUGUUGAUCAAUUUUGAACCAAACUAUCUGAAUUAUCCUGGUUUACUGCAUUACAGCAGAGAAAAUUAAAAUUGCCACUAUCUAUUUUAAGAACAAUGAAAACCUGGAAAAUUGCAAAAACUUAAUCGAAGAAUAAGAACCCCAGUCACGUCUACGUAAAAAGUUAGUAUCUAAAUUCUUGGAAACUGGAUCUGCAGCUAAUAAAAACAUGAAAACCGUCACAUUGUUCAUAACGAGGAUGCAGAGGUUGCAAUUUUGGGACAUGUUGAACUGAAUCCCACAUCAAUCACCAGAAAAUUGGAAUCUACUUCAGAAGUAGAAGUCUUCAGAAGGUCUGAAAGAAACAUCGAUUCCAUCCGUAUAAAAUUCAUCUCGGGCUUGAACUUAAUGAAGAUGAUCCAGAUCAUCGUAUUCAAUUU